UACAGAGGUCUCAAGCGUUGUUCGGAUUCAUUGGGCGUAAAGGGUAGGUAGGUGGUCUCAUUUGUCUGGGGUGAAAGCCUCGAGCUUAACUCGAGAAGUGCCCCGGAAACGGUGAGACUGGAGUCUUGGAGAGGGUCGUGGAAUUCCCGGUGUAGCGGUGAAAUGCGUAGAGAUCGGGAGGAACACCAGAGGCGAAGGCGGCGACCUGGACAAGUACUGACACUCAACUACGAAAGCGUGGGGAGCAAACAGG
rnacentral:rRNA from 1 species